rnacentral:rRNA from 1 species
AUCGAUAAUCCUCGAUANAUUAUACUUCAAUUUUAAAUUUAUAUACCGCCAUCUUAAGAUUUAAUUUGAAAAUAUUUCUCUAAAAAAUAAAUAAAAAGUUAGGUCAAGGUAUAAUUUACAUUGAAGAAUAAGAUGAAUUACAAUAAAUCUAAUUUGAAAAUCGCUAAUAAAUAUAUUAACACAAAUAGAAUUUAAAAGUAAUAUUAAAAUAAUAAUAUAAUAUGAUAAGGAUCAUAAAUGUGUACACAUCGCCC